rnacentral:lncRNA from 1 species
GUCUGCUUUUCACAACAAACAAAAUGUGUGCUUUUGGCGACAAAAUGCAAAAGAAUAGACUUGCAGAGGGCGCCCUGCCGGCUGUGUUUUAUAGCCUUAAGAAAUAGCGAAGGCAGUCUGAAAAACAUAUUCAUGCGUUAUUGUCUUAUAUUGAUAUUUUGAGCCUUUUCUUUCCAGUGGAAAUAAGAACUCAUAUGAGGUAAAGUGCGCUGGAAAAGCACAUCGGCUCUACCAAAUCCUUGGUUAUUCAGUUCCUGGCUAGAGCAACUCUUUAUCAUCGGUCCCUAGCAGGGCAGUCCUUUUAAAGUUAGCGCUGAGCAUGGUGUUGCUUGUGAUAGGCUGAGUCGAAGGAAGAAAGGAGCUUGCCUUGUUCAGAUUAGCAGUGCCGCUGGAGAGUUCACUCAUCGUCAGCUAGCUCCAGCCAAAACGUGACCGCGAGCGUUUUUUAUUUUAUUUAUUCCGUUCCAACAUAUCAUGCUUUUUGAGCAAGAUGUAGCUUACGUCAGAACAUGAACAUUCACUCUAAAUACAUGAGUUGUUAUAGAGGGUCGGAUAUGUGUACGGACGUGGUCUUCUACGGAUGGAAGUUAUUGUUGUGAAUUGUUUAUGACUAUGCUAUGGCGAAGUAAUCUUUUAUUUCGCUUUUCUGCGCUCAUCGUGGACAAGUGGUUUGGGAUUUAUUGACUAGCCUACAUGUUGUAGCCUACAAGCCCUAGAAAGGAGAACUGAAGAGUGGAUUCGGUCUAUCAAGCAACGAGCUAACUACGGACCGGGGAUUUAAAUCGUUUUUGGCUUGCCCCAGGAAAAAAAGAGAGAGGGAAAGAAAGAAAUUCAUGUGGCAAUUCUCUCUUUAGCGAAAACAGUUGGAAUCGCAGAAUGAGCAAGGAAAGGCCUAAAAGGAAUAUCAUCCAAAAGAGAUACGUAGCCCUCUUGAUGCCUGCGUGGAUCUGUUGGAGUUGGCAUGUGUUUGCAGACUGGCAUCUGAACACUGCACAGUGAGUUUUGAGUCCCACUGGGCCUUCAGUCUGUGU